rnacentral:rRNA from 1 species
AGAGUUUGAUCCUGGCUCAGAUUGAACGCUGGCGGCAGGCCUAACACAUGCAAGUCGAGCGGUAGAGAGGUGCUUGCACCUCUUGAGAGCGGCGGACGGGUGAGUAAAGCCUAGGAAUCUGCCUGGUAGUGGGGGAUAACGCUCGGAAACGGACGCUAAUACCGCAUACGUCCUACGGGAGAAAGCAGGGGACCUUCGGGCCUUGCGCUAUCAGAUGAGCCUAGGUCGGAUUAGCUAGUUGGUGAGGUAAUGGCUCACCAAGGCGACGAUCCGUAACUGGUCUGAGAGGAUGAUCAGUCACACUGGAACUGAGACACGGUCCAGACUCCUACGGGAGGCAGCAGUGGGGAAUAUUGGACAAU